AACGCACCUUGCGCUCCUUGGUAUUCCGAGGAGCACGCCUGUUCGAGUGUCGUGAAACUCUCAAGCUAGAUGCUUUAGUGUCAUCUGCUUGGUUAUUAGACUCUGCUGUCUCCUUGUCUGGAACGGCUGGUCUCAAAUGUAUUAGCUGGCUCUUGUUGUGGGAAUUGGUUCUACUCAGCGUGAUAAUCUAUUCGCUGAGGACACUCUCAAGAGUGGCCGAGACAUGAAGAGUUAGAAGCCUCCAGCCCAUCUAGUCAUAUUCAAGAUUAGACCUCAGAUCAGGCAGGAUUACCCGCUGAACUUAA
rnacentral:rRNA from 1 species